rnacentral:rRNA from 1 species
GAAAGCUUGGCGAUACAGGGUGAUAGCCCCGUAACCGACGCUUCAUCGAGCGUGAAAUCGAGUAGGGCGGGACACGUGAUAUCCUGUCUGAAUAUGGGGGGACCAUCCUCCAAGGCUAAAUACUCCUGACUGACCGAUAGUGAACCAGUACCGUGAGGGAAAGGCGAAAAGAACCCCUGUGAGGGGAGUGAAAUAGAACCUGAAACCGUGUACGUACAAGCAGUAGGAGCACCUUCGUGGUGUGACUGCGUACCUUUUGUAUAAUGGGUCAGCGACUUAUAUUCAGUGGCAAGGUUAACCGUAUAGGGGAGCCGUAGCGAAAGCGAGUCUUAACUGGGCGCUCAGUCUCUGGAUAUAGACCCGAAACCGGGUGAUCUAGCCAUGGGCAGGUUGAAGGUUGAGUAACAUCAACUGGAGGACCGAACCGACUAAUGUUGAAAAAUUAGCGGAUGACUUGUGGCUAGGGGUGAAAGGCCAAUCAAACUCGGAGAUAGCUGGUUCUCCCCGAAAGCUAUUUAGGUAGCGCCUCGGACGAAUACUACUGGGGGUAGAGCACUGUUAAGGCUAGGGGGUCAUCCCGACUUACCAACCCUUUGCAAACUCCGAAUACCAGUAAGUACUAUCCGGGAGACACACGGCGGGUGCUAACGUCCGUCGUGGAGAGGGAAACAACCCAGACCGCCAGCUAAGGUCCCAAAGUAUUGCUAAGUGGGAAACGAUGUGGGAAGGCUCAGACAGCUAGGAUGUUGGCUUAGAAGCAGCCAUCAUUUAAAGAAAGCGUAAUAGCUCACUAGUCGAGUCGGCCUGCGCGGAAGAUGUAACGGGGCUAAGCAAUACACCGAAGCUGCGGCAAUAUCUUUUAGAUAUUGGGUAGGGGAGCGUUCUGUAAGCCGUUGAAGGUGAAUCGUAAGGUUUGCUGGAGGUAUCAGAAGUGCGAAUGCUGACAUGAGUAACGACAAAGGGGGUGAAAAACCUCCUCGCCGGAAGACCAAGGGUUCCUGUCCAACGUUAAUCGGGGCAGGGUGAGUCGACCCCUAAGGUGAGGCCGAAAGGCGUAAUCGAUGGGAAACGGGUUAAUAUUCCCGUACUUCUGACUAUUGCGAUGGGGGGACGGAGAAGGCUAGGUGGGCCAGGCGACGGUUGUCCUGGUUCAAGUGCGUAGGCUUGAGAGUUAGGUAAAUCCGGCUCUCUCUAAGGCUGAGACACGACGUCGAGCUGCUACGGCAGUGAAGUCAUUGAUGCCAUGCUUCCAGGAAAAGCCUCUAAGCUUCAGAUAGUCAGGAAUCGUACCCCAAACCGACACAGGUGGUCGGGUAGAGAAUACCAAGGCGCUUGAGAGAACUCGGGUGAAGGAACUAGGCAAAAUGGUACCGUAACUUCGGGAGAAGGUAC